UGGGCAUGUUUGGAGGCCAGAUUAUAUAAACUGUAAACCAGCUUUUAAAUUGGUGCAAUGACAUGUUUGCCCUCUGUUUUUUUUUGCAACGGUCAUUUUUUUUAAUUCAUCUUGCCAUUUGGUUUGCUUGGCGCCAAGUUUGAAUAGAUAGACAUUUGUACUAGCCAUGUACGAACGUGUUAUUUCCCGGCAAAUUUGAACUGUAG
rnacentral:lncRNA from 1 species